rnacentral:rRNA from 1 species
UGCCAGCAGCCGCGGUACUACGGAGGGUGCGAGCGUUAAUCGGAAUUACUGGGCGUAAAGCGCGCGUAGGCGGCUUGUUAAGUCGGAUGUGAAAGCCCCGGGCUCAACCUGGGAACUGCAUUCGAUACUGGCAAGCUAGAGUACAGUAGAGGAGUGUGGAAUUUCCUGUGUAGCGGUGAAAUGCGUAGAUAUGGGAAGGAACACCAGUGGCGAAGGCGGCACUCUGGACUGAUACUGACGCUGAGGUGCGAAAGCGUGGGGAGCAAACAGGAUUAGAUA